CAACCUCUGCCUCCUGGAACAUUUGCUUUCUUUCCUCUCCACCAGUUUUGAGGGAAGAAUGUUGACUUUUAAGCCACUCCCACUUUUCCCUAUGACAUCUGUACAUGCU